UACGGAGGAUGCAAGCGUUAUCCGGAUUCAUUGGGUUUAAAGGGUGCGUAGGCGGCUUUUUAAGUCAGUGGUGAAAUCUUGCCGCUUAACGGUAAAAUUGCCAUUGAUACUGAUAAGCUUGAGUACAAUUGAGGUAAGCGGAAUGUGUAGUGUAGCGGUGAAAUGCUUAGAUAUUACACAGAACACCGAUUGCGAAGGCAGCUUACUAAACUGUUACUGACGCUGAUGCACGAAAGCGUGGGGAGCGAACAGG
rnacentral:rRNA from 2 species